rnacentral:rRNA from 1 species
GAUGAACGCUGGCGGCGUGCCUAAUACAUGCAAGUCGAGCGAACAGACGAGGAGCUUGCUCCUCUGACGUUAGCGGCGGACGGGUGAGUAACACGUGGAUAACCUACCUAUAAGACUGGGAUAACUUCGGGAAACCGGAGCUAAUACCGGAUAAUAUAUUGAACCGCAUGGUUCAAUAGUGAAAGACGGUUUUGCUGUCACUUAUAGAUGGAUCCGCGCCGCAUAGCUAGUUGGUAAGGUAACGGCUUACCAAGGCAACGAUGCGUAGCCGACCUGAGAGGGUGAUCGGCCACACUGGAACUGAGACACGGUCCAGACUCCUACGGGAGGCAGCAGUAGGGAAUCUGCCGCAAUGGGCGAAAGCCUGACGGAGCAACGCCGCGUGAGUGAUGAAGGUCUUCGGAUCGUAAAACUCUGUUAUUAGGGAAGAACAAAUGUGUAAGUAACUAUGCACGUCUUGACGGUACCUAAUCAGAAAGCCACGGCUAACUACGU